rnacentral:rRNA from 1 species
GACAGAGGGGGCAAGCGUUGCUCGGAAUUACUGGGCGUAAAGGGCGCGUAGGCGGGAUGGCAAGUCGGUCGUGAAAUCCCUCGGCUCAACUGAGGAUCGUCGAUCGAUACUGCCGUUCUUGAGGAUUGCAGAGGAGACUGGAAUUCCCGGUGUAGCGGUGAAAUGUGUAGAGAUCGGGAGGAACACCGGUGGCGAAGGCGGGUCUCUGGGCUGAUACUGACGCUGAGGUGCGAAAGCGUGGGGAGCAAACAGG